UACGGAGGAUGCAAGCGUUAUCCGGAUUUAUUAGGUUUAAAGGGUAGCGUAGGUGGGCGUUUAAGUCAGUGGUUAAAGCCAAUAGCUUAACUAUUGUAUGCCAUUGAAACUGGAUGUCUUGAAUAGGGUAGAGGUAGGCGGAAUGUGUUGUGUAGCGGUGAAAUGCUUAGAUAUAACACAGAACACCGAUUGCGAAGGCAGCUUACUAUGCCUUUAUUGACACUGAUGCACGAAAGCGUGGGGGAUCAAACAGGAUUAGAUACCCUGGUA
rnacentral:rRNA from 1 species